rnacentral:piRNA from 1 species
UUGUAUUAGAUCAACUUCAAG